AGAGUUUGAUCAUGGCUCAGGAUGAACGCUAGCGGCAGGCCUUACACAUGCAAGUCGAGGGGUAACAGGAGAGAGCUUGCUCUUUCGCUGACGACCGGCGCACGGGUGCGUAACACGUAUGCAACCUACCUCUUACUGGGGGAUAGCCCAGAGAAAUUUGGAUUAACACCCCAUAGUAUCAUUCUUCCGCAUGGUUGAAUGAUUAAAGGUUACGGUAAGAGAUGGGCAUGCGCCUCAUUAGCUAGUUGGUGAGGUAACGGCUCACCAAGGCUACGAUGGGUAGGGGGUCUGAGAGGACUAUCCCCCACACUGGUAC
rnacentral:rRNA from 1 species